rnacentral:rRNA from 1 species
GAUGAACGCUGGCGGCGUGCCUAAUACAUGCAAGUCGAGCGAACGGACGAGAAGCUUGCUUCUCUGAUGUUAGCGGCGGACGGGUGAGUAACACGUGGAUAACCUACCUAUAAGACUGGGAUAACUUCGGGAAACCGGAGCUAAUACCGGAUAAUAUUUUGAACGGCAUGGUUCAAAAGUGAAAGACGGUCUUGCUGUUACUUAUAGAUGGAUCCGCGCUGCAUUAGCUAGUUGGUAAGGUAACGGCUCACCAAGGCAACGAUCCAUAGCCGACCUGAGAGGGUGAUCGGCCACACUGGAACUGAGACACGGUCCAGACUCCUACGGGAGGCAGCAGUGGGGAAUCUUCCGCAAUGGGCGCAAGCCUGACGGAGCAACGCCGCGUGAGUGAUGAAGGUCUUCGGAUCGUAAAACUCUGUUAUUAGGGAAGAACAUAUGUGUAAGUAACUGUGCACAUCCUGACGGUACCUAAUCAGAAAGCCCCGGCUAACUACGUG